rnacentral:rRNA from 1 species
ACGGGUGAGUAAUGUCUGGGGAUCUGCCCGAUAGAGGGGGAUAACCACUGGAAACGGUGGCUAAUACCGCAUAACGUCGCAAGACCAAAGAGGGGGACCUUCGGGCCUCUCACUAUCGGAUGAACCCAGAUGGGAUUAGCUAGUAGGCGGGGUAACGGCCCACCUAGGCGACGAUCCCUAGCUGGUCUGAGAGGAUGACCAGCCACACUGGAACGGAGACACGGUCCAGACUCCUACGGGAGGCAGCAGUGGGGAAUAUUGCACAAUGGGCGCAAGCCUGAUGCAGCCAUGCCGCGUGUAUGAAGAAGGCCUUCGGGUUGUAAAGUACUUUCAGCGGGGAGGAAGGCAGUGAGGUUAAUAACCUUACUGAUUGACGUUACCCGCAGAAGAAGCACCGGCUAACUCCGUGCCAGCAGCCGCGGUAAUACGGAGGGUGCAAGCGUUAAUCGGAAUUACUGGGCGUAAAGCGCACGCAGGCGGUCUGUUAAGUCAGAUGUGAAAUCCCCGGGCUUAACCUGGGAACUGCAUUUGAAACUGGCAGGCUUGAGUCUCGUAGAGGGGGGUAGAAUUCCAGGUGUAGC